rnacentral:rRNA from 1 species
UACGGAGGGUGCAAGCGUUAUCCGGAUUCACUGGGUUUAAAGGGUGUGUAGGCGGACUUUUAAGUCAGUGGUGAAAUCUCCGGGCUCAACCCGGAAACUGCCAUUGAUACUAUUGGUCUUGAAUGUUGUGGAGGUGGGCGGAACGGGUCAUGUAGCGGUGAAAUGCUUAGAGAUGACCCGGAACACCGAUUGCGAAGGCAGCCCACUACGCAACUAUUGACGCUGAGGCACGAAAGCGUGGGGAUCAAACAGG